rnacentral:rRNA from 1 species
GGAUCAUUACCGAGUUUACAACUCCCCAAACCCAAUGUGAACGUUACCAAACUGUUGCCUCGGCGGGAUCUCUGCCCCGGGUGCGUCGCAGCCCCGGACCAAGGCGCCCGCCGGAGGACCAACCAAAACUCUUUUUGUAUACCCCCUCGCGGGUUUUUUUAUAAUCUGAGCCUUCUCGGCGCCUCUCGUAGGCGUUUCGAAAAUGAAUCAAAACUUUCAACAACGGAUCUCUUGGUUCUGGCAUCGAUGAAGAACGCAGCGAAAUGCGAUAAGUAAUGUGAAUUGCAGAAUUCAGUGAAUCAUCGAAUCUUUGAACGCACAUUGCGCCCGCCAGUAUUCUGGCGGGCAUGCCUGUCCGAGCGUCAUUUCAACCCUCGAACCCCUCCGGGGGGUCGGCGUUGGGGAUCGGCCCUCCCUUAGCGGGUGGCCGUCUCCGAAAUACAGUGGCGGUCUCGCCGCAGCCUCUCCUGCGCAGUAGUUUGCACACUCGCAUCGGGAGCGCGGCGCGUCCACAGCCGUUAAACACCCAACUUCUGAAAUGUUGACCUCGGAUCAGGUAGGAAUACCCGCUGAACUUAA